UGGUGGCGUGGCAGAGCGGCCUAAUGCACUCGCCUUGAAAGCGAGAGACGGCUAAAACCGUCCGGGGGUUCAAAUCCCUCCGCCACCGCCC
rnacentral:tRNA from 3 species